GUGAAAUUGAACUCGCUGUGAAGAUGCAGUGUACCCGCGGCAAGACGGAAAGACCCCGUGAACCUUUACUAUAGCUUGACACUGAACAUUGAGCCUUGAUGUGUAGGAUAGGUGGGAGGCUUUGAAGUGUGGACGCCAGUCUGCGUGGAGCCGACCUUGAAAUACCACCCUUUAAUGUUUGAUGUUCUAACGUGGACCCGUGAUCCGGGUUGCGGACAGUGUCUGGUGGGUAGUUUGACUGGGGCGGUCUCCUCCUAAAGAGUAACGGAGGAGCACGAAGGUUGGCUAAUCCUGGUCGGACAUCAGGAGGUUAGUGCAAUGGCAUAAGC
rnacentral:rRNA from 1 species